UGGGGAAUCUUCCGCAAUGGACGAAAGUCUGACGGAGCAACGCCGCGUGAGUGAAGAAGGUCUUCGGAUUGUAAAACUCUGUCGUUUGGGACGAACGUGACCUGGGUAAAUAAUCUGGGUUAAUGACGGUACCAAAGGAGGAAGCCACGGCUAACUACGUGCCAGCAGCCGCGGUAAUACGUAGGUGGCAAGCGUUGUCCGGAAUCAUUGGGCGUAAAGGGCGUGUAGGUGGGUUUUUAAGUCGUGUGUCUAAGUGCGGGGCUCAACCCCGUAUGGGCGCAGGAAACUGGAGAUCUUGAGUGCAGGAGAGGAAAGUGGAAUUCCCAGUGUAGCGGUGAAAUGCGUAGAUAUUGGGAGGAACACCAGUGGCGAAGGCGACUUUCUGGACUGCGUCUGACACUGAGGCGCGAAAGCCAGGGGAGCGAACG
rnacentral:rRNA from 1 species